rnacentral:misc_RNA from 1 species
GCGACGGCAAGAGCCACCAGAAACAGCGGCAAGAGAGGGAGGAGAGAGAAAAAACGCGUGCACAGUGGGCAGCGACUUUCCGGUGCGAUUCCGGCUUCAUCCGACGUCUGAUCGAGGCGAUUCAGGUGGCGUUUAAAAACUUGUUUCGAGAGCUUUCUUUUGAUACCAAUUUUGCAGCAAAUGAAGAUUUGAUGAAUGAGAUAUGGAGGAAAGAAGUUUCGGGUUUUUCAAGCU